AUGCCGCGGUGAAUACGUUCCCGGGCCUUGUACACACCGCCCGUCACACCACGAGAGUUGGUAACACCCGAAGUCGGUGAGGUAACCUUUUGGAGCCAGCCGCCGAAGGUGGGACCAAUGAUUGGGGUGAAGUCGUAACAAGGUAGCCGUAUCGGAAGGUGCGGCUGGAUCACCUCCUUUCU
rnacentral:rRNA from 2 species